ACGAAAAAGAAAAAUCUAAUAGAUCUUUGUAUUUUUGUGAUUUCUUAACAGUAAUGAUUCCGAUUUGUUCUUAAUUGUCAAAAUAAUUUCAUAAUACACAAGUGCGCAGUUGAAACAAUGAAGUCGUCACUGAGAAGAAGGUUGUUGGUCGACAGGACCUGGUGGUUCACCGACGUUGGGGAUGGAGAAAGUGAGAACCAUAGAUAGCUACACUUUUUCUUUGAAUAUUAUCUUCCAUUAUAAAGUAAAAAAUUGUUGGCUUCGUUUUUUUGUAGUAGUACUCUUCUGGUGUGGGACUAGCUAGGUAACAUGUAACAGCUCAGAUUAAUUUACGUUUAGCUUUUUUUUAAAGUAGCAACUCAGACGCUGUCCAUGAUAAGUUUCUAGUCAAAGGGAAAAGUUCAAGCUUCUGGAUUGUUAGGGAUGAUCUCAAAUGAGACAACCCUCCAAAAAUAGGCGUAUGCCGCUUGGUACGACAAACACACGGUAUUCUUUAGUAAAAGGCGAAAGAAUAGUUCGCUAUGUGCUUAUCGCACGGCUCCGUGACCACUGUCAACAUCCCCUCUCCAUAUAAUAUAUGUCUAGCUCUCAGUGCCUUGCUCCGUAUAUUUACGAUGUGGGACUUAAAACAUAUGUAAAAAUAUGGUCUCUCUCCUUUCUACGUCUACGCAUGUCAAUAACUAUGUCCCUUUAUAACUUUCUGGUUUCCCCUUCUCACAGUUGUGAGGUGUCACGUUAAACUAAUUUUAGAAUAUAAGAAUAAGGACCAUAGAGACUCCAUAGUACCCAUGGAAAAAUCCGAAAAAUUGCUAGUACAGAACUUUCCGUCGUACUCCCAUAGAAGUACACUGUUGAUAUUCUUUUUCUUUCUUUAAUCAAUUUUGCAGUACACAAGUCUCAUGUCGUUUUAUUUGUACUACACAAAACGUUAAUGAUUGUAACUGUGUACUACACACUCCUUUCGUAAUGUGUGUAUAUAAAGUUCACAUAAGUUUUGAGGAAAACCGAAACCCAAUCCUUAUUGCUGGGUUAAAGAGAGGAAAAUAUCUUUGAGGGUGGACCUCGACAGGGUCGACAUGAGAACACAUGGUAAUCAAAGGCUGUAAUGACGCCACGUCAUUGUAACAUACAUCUCUCUUUUCAUGUGUUCUCAGGUCACCCCUGCUGAGCUCUUUCUCUGCCGUCUAUCUUUACCAAUGCUCGGUGGCUUCACUCCAUUCACCAAAUGAUUUCACGUACGGACAAAUAAUUCUGGAGUGCGUAGUUUCUAUCUGCAGUGUGGCAACAAGUUAAAUGGGACAAAUAAGAUGAAACUCACGUUACGCACCUACCUUAACUUCACAAGUCAUCAACAUACCUUACCAAAUUAUUCCAUCAACAAAUCCCCCCACCCAAAAAGAGAAACAAAAUGGCACACCAGAAUCACCGGUCUGGUUCACUUUCUCUUCCAUCCAAACUCUCCGGUUCUGACAACUAAACCUGUUAAAAGACUAAGCCUGCAAGAACAAACACAACACACUAAUUAACUCCAUUUUUCUUCAAAGGAAAAUCUUCGUGAAGCCAAUGAACCUAUCUAUCUAGAAUUGUUCACCAAUCACCACAGAAACAGCAAAUAAUAUCUCUUGAUUCCAUCCAUAUGACAAACCGUUCCAAACUAAACUCUCAUAUGAUCAA